GACCGGUGCCCUCUGGGUGCCUACUCCCACCAUAUGUGAACUCAUAACCGUUGCUUUGGCGGGCCGGCCUUGCGCCCCUCGGCCCCAGCUGGGGAGCGCCCGCCAGAGGACCAUUAAACCCGUUUAAUCGUGGCAUCUGAGUACUGUUUAAUAAAGUCAAAACUUUCAACAACGGAUCUCUUGGUUCUGGCAUCGAUGAAGAACGCAGCGAAAUGCGAUAAGUAAUGUGAAUUGCAGAAUUCAGUGAAUCAUCGAAUCUUUGAACGCACAUUGCGCCCUUUGGUAUUCCGAAGGGCAUGCYUGCUCGAGCGUCAUUUAAACCUUCAAGCCUAGCUUGGUAUUGGGUGCAGGUCUUGCUGAGACCCACCCGUAACUCGUUGCGGCACCGACCGGCUUCAAGCGUAGCAAAAUAUUUCGCUUAGGAGCCCGGGCGGCGCCCGCCAGGGAAACACAUCUAAAGUUUGACCUCGGAUCAGGUAGGGAUACCCGCUGAACUUAAGC
rnacentral:rRNA from 1 species